rnacentral:rRNA from 1 species
AGUAACGCGUGAGGAACCUGCCUCAAAGAGGGGGACAACAGUUGGAAACGACUGCUAAUACCGCAUAAGCCCACGGCUCGGCAUCGAGCAGAGGGAAAAGGAGUGAUCCGCUUUGAGAUGGCCUCGCGUCCGAUUAGCUAGUUGGUGAGGUAACGGCCCACCAAGGCGACGAUCGGUAGCCGGACUGAGAGGUUGAACGGCCACAUUGAGACUGAGACACGGCCCAG